GACAGAGUUCACUGGUGUUGGUGUGUGAAGAGACAGAGUUCACUGGUGUUGGUGUGUGAAGUGAGACAGAGUUCACUGGUGUUGGUCUGUGAAGAGAGAGAGAGUUCACUGGUGUUGGUGUGUGAAGAGAGAGAGAUUUCACUGGUGUUGGUGUGUGAAGAGAGAGAGAGAGAAGAUUCACUAGUGUUGGUGUGUGAAAAGAGAGAGUUCACUGGUGUUGGUGUGUUAAGAGAGAGAGUUCACUGGUGUUGGUGUGUGAAGGGAGAGAGAGUUCACUGGUGUUGGUGUGUGAAGCGAGAUAGUUCACUAGUCUUGGUGUGUGAAGAGAGAGAGUUCACUGGUGUUGAUGUGUGAAGAGAGAGAGUUCACUAGUGUUGGUGUGUGAAGAGAGAGAGUUCACUGGUGUUGGUGUGUGAAGAGAAAGAGUUCACUGGUGUUGGUGUGUGAAGCGAGAGAGAGUUCACUGGUGUUGGUGUGUGAAGCAAGAUAGUUCACUAGUGUUGGUGUGUGAAGAGAGAGAGUUCACUGGUGUUGGUGUGUGAAGAGAGAGAGUUCACUGGUGUUGGUGUGUGAAGGGAGACAGAGUUCACUGGUGUUUGGUGUGUGAAGACAGAGAGUUCACUGGUGUUGGUGUGUGAAUGGAGACAGAGUUCACUGGUGUUGGUGUGUGAAGA
rnacentral:lncRNA from 1 species